GGGCUGCCUGAUACUUUGUUAAAGAGACAGUGCACCAAAUGUGACAGCCACCAUUUGACACCAUGCAAUCGAUUGGCACAAAGGGCAGCACGGCGCUGGAGUGGUUAGCACGUCUGCCUCACAGUCAUAAGGUUUGGGGUUUGAAUUCCAGCCCCAGCCUAGCUUUGUGGAGUCUGCAUGUUCCAUGCAUGGGUACUUCGGCUUCCUCCCACAUUCCAAAAACGUGUAAAGGCUCCUAACACAGGCGGUGUCGAGUCUCCGGGACUAGGUGCGGCGUUGGCCACAAGCGGCGAACUAGAGCUCCGAAGGCUGUCGUCUCCACCCGAGCAGCUGCUGUUGGGCGAGAUGGAAAGCUCCAGUUCUUCC